UAUCUUAUUAUCACCACUGGACUCUUUCCGAAAUGGAGGGAAAAGCUUUUAUUAUAAUGUGCAUUUUUAUUGCAACAGUCCACGCGCAAAGUUCAACAACUCAGUCCACAGUAGAUUCAACAACCGACACCUCUGCAACACCCACAGCUACAAUGACGUCUUCAACAACCACUACAACUCUUGCUGAAUCAUCCACUACUACUGCAGGAGUUACCACGACAGCACCACAAACUACUUUUACAACAGCUGAAUCCUCCACAACAGCUACAACAACAGCAGAUCCUUCAACAACCACUACAACUAUUGCUGAAACAUCCACUACUACUGCAGGAGUUACCACGAUACCACCACAAUCUACUGUUACAACAGCAGAAUCCUCCACAACAGCUACAACAACAGCAGUUCCUUCAACAACCACUACAACUCUAACUGAAGCAUCCACUACUACUGCAGGAACAACCACAACAGCCCCACAAACUACUGUUACAACAGCAGAAUCCUCCACAACAGCAACAACAACAGCAGUGCCCUCAACAACCACUACAACUCUUGCUGAAUCAUCCACCACUACUCCAGGAGUUACCACAACAGCACCACAAACUACUGUUGCAACAGCAGAAUCCUCCACAACAGAUACAACAACAGCAGUGCCCUCAACAAUCACUACAGCUCUUGCUGAAUCAUCCACCACUAUUGCAGGAGUUACCACGACAGCACUACAAACUACUGUUACAACAGUUGAAUCCUCCACAACAGCAACAACAACAACAGUUCCCUCAACAACAAUUACAACUCUUGAUAAAUCAUCCACGACUACUGCAGGAGUUACCACAACAGCCCCACAAACUACUGUUACAACAGUAGAAUCCUCCACAACAUCUACAACAACAACAACAGUGCCCUCAACAACCAUUACAACUGUUGCUGAAUCAUCCACGACUACUGCAGGAGUUUCCACGACAGCACUACAAACUACUGUUACAACAGCAGAAUCCUCCACAACAGCUACAACAACAGCAGUUCCUUCAACAACCAUUACAACUCUUACUGAGGCAUCCACUACUACUGCAGGAGUUACCACAACAGCACCACAAACUACUGUUACAACAGCAGAAUCCUCCACAACAUCUACAACAACAACAACAGUGCCCUCAACAACCAUUACAACUGUUGCUGAAUCAUCGACCACUACUGCAGGAGUUACCACAACAGCACCACAAACUACUGUUACAACAGCAGAAUCCUCCACAACAGCUACAACAACAGCAGUUCCUUCAACAACCAUUACAACUCUUACUGAGGCAUCCACUACUACUGCAGGAGUUACCACAACAGCCCCACAAACUAGUGUUACAACAGCAGAAUCCUCCACAACAGCAACAACAACAGCAGUUCCUUCAACAACCAUUACAACUCUUACUGAGGCAUCCACUACUACUGCAGGAGUUACCACAACAGCACCACAAGCUACUGUUACAACAGCAGAAUCCUCCACAACAGCUAGAACAACAGCAGCAACAUCUGAAACACCAGCAACUUCAUCGCCAACAGGUUCAGCCACAGUCUUUACAUCAAUUAUUGGUACAUCCACCAGUGGUACAGCAAUAACCACAAAAGUGACACAAUCUAAAGUUACUACAGAGUCUACAGCAUCUAACACUUCUACAGAACCUGCAGUGUCUACAGCUGCUAUAGCUUCUACUGUAUCUACAGCUUCAACAGCAUCUACAGCAUCAACAGCAUCUACAACCUCUACAGCAUCUACAGCCUCUACAACAUCUACAACCUCUACAGCAUCUACAACCUCUACAGCAUCUACAACCUCCAAAGCAACUACUGCAAAAAUAAUACCUGAAGUGCUAACAGAUCUAGUGUUUAGCUCUUUUGAGACAUUUAUAGAUGCACUCAGUGAUGUCAACAGUGAGGAGUUUAAGAUUAGGUCUAAACUUGUCAAGGAUGAGCUUGAGCCUGUCUACAAAAUCAAGUAUUCUAACUUCCUCAGAUUGAAUGUCCUAAGAUUCAGAUCAGGGUCAAUCAUCACAUCAACACAACUAGCUUUCAGCUUCAACCAAACUAUCCCAUCUGUUCAAGAGAUUUCAAACACCCUCUUGGAAGCAGUGGGAACAGGGGAUGUCAAUCCAUUAAAGAUAAUCCCUGAAUCAAUUUCAGUCAAUGGUUCAGCUACAACUGUUGCUCCUGCAACAACUACAACAACCACCACAGCAACUACAGUUUCAGGCGGAUUAAAGAUUGAAUCCAGUCUGUUCCAAGCAAUAUGCCUCAUUAUUAUGUCUAAAAUAUUAAGCUUUUUCCUAUAGAUCCCUUAAACAUAUCAACCAAACAUGAGAGUUCAACAAGACACACUGUAACAAAUUAAUUAAACACAAAAUGUAUUUAUUAUUAUUAUUAUUAAAUGUAUAGUAUUUCUCAUUGUAGCACAUUCUCAAAUACUAGUAUUGAGCAACAUAAAGAUAACUUUGAUAAUGCAUUUUUGCUGAAGAAUAUAACAGUAGAUAUCUGUUUAACAGCAGGCUGUUUUCUGGGAGGGAGAAGUAGAUCUUUUUCCUUAUGUAUUUCCUUUAAAUGUAAACAUUGUGAAUGUUGUUUAACUGUUUUGAGGUUAAUACUGUUUAAACUACUUAUUUUUGUUUGUCUAAGUUCUAACAUUGUAAUAUGUAAUAUUUUAAUUAAAUAAAAAUAUUUAUUAAAUGAUGUAGUCCAAAAUAUUUUGCUUUCAUAAAAAAAAGACUACAAUACAACUACAGCACAAUAAAUACUACACUGUAAAAAGUCUGUAGUUUUUACAAAAUAAUUUUGGCAGCUGUGGUUGCCAGAAUACUUUUGUAAAAAAUACAGAAAAACUGUAAACACAAUUACGGCCAAAAACUGUAAAUUUUACAGUAUAAAACUGUUAUUUACAAACAAGAAAAUUUUAAUGUAAACCAGUAAAUUCAACAACGCACACUGCUAUUAAAAUCUGUUUUGUACCUUUAACAUACUGACAACCACCAUAAUAAUGCAGGUGGUAAAAGAGAAAGCCACAUGAAGAAUCGAAGUUCAUCACAAGUAGCUUCGCCACAAGCAGAAGUUUAUAUUAAUAUAUAGAAGGUGCACAAAGUCAUUCAUGCAAACACAAAACACCAUCAUGGUGACACACGAUACUUAAACAAUUCAAUAAACUUUCAUUAAACAGCAGAAGAUGUAACAUAAAGCCCAAAUGUACAACUGAUAACAAAAAACUAUUAAAAAACAUGAUUAUUUAAACAAAAUACUUUCAAAUGUGGAGCGUCACACAGGGAAUUCUGGGAAUAUCAGUUUACAGUUUUUGACUGUAAAUUAUACAUUGAUUUGUUCUUUUUAUUUCUAAAAAAUUGUACAGUUAAAAUGACACUUAUUUUUUACAGUGUAUAUAUGCUAAACCUGGCUUUUUAUGGUAAAGUGUUCACUGUUCAAACAACCCUUACCAAAAAGCAGUAUACUUCAAGUUUAUUUUAUUAAGUAUACUUAAAUAAAGUUCAAGUAUAUUUU
ensembl:lncRNA